UACAGAGGGUGCAAGCGUUAAUCGGAAUUACUGGGCGUAAAGGGGGCGUAGGCGGCGCGGUAAGUCGGGUGUGAAAUCUCGGAGCUUAACUCCGAAACUGCAUUCGAUACUGCCGUGCUUGAGGACUGGAGAGGAGACUGGAAUUUACGGUGUAGCGGUGAAAUGCGUAGAUAUCGUAAGGAAGACCAGUGGCGAAGGCGGGUCUCUGGACAGUUCCUGACGCUGAGGCACGAAGGUCAGGGGAGCAAACGGG
rnacentral:rRNA from 1 species